rnacentral:lncRNA from 1 species
UGCAGUCAGGCCUGGCGCAGGCGUGGAGCAGGGCUCCCCACCCGGCCCGGGCGGUCCAAAACAGCCCAGUGGCCUUGGCACGCGGUGUGGGUGGGGACACGCCCCGUGGAUUCCCCGUCCCCACCCCGACAGCCAAGUGGAAGCAAUUGCCCUUGGAAGCCCGUGGGGAAAGCGGCUGAUUUCACUUUUGGAAAAACGCUGGAGCAGGAGCAACUCUCAGCCAGCGUUACAAACCCGGUGACCUGCCAUUGGAGGCCGUGCGAGGGCGGCCGGGGCGGCCACGUCUGCCGGGGAGAGAAACUUGCCGCGGAGUGGGCAGAGGGAAGCAAUGCAAAAUGUCAGAUAGGAGAAAGAGGGGGCGGCGGAGGAGGAAAGGCGCUAGACCGCAGAGAGGGGAGGACAGGAGAUUGCACCGGCUGCCUCGAGACGCGGGUCAGAGGAGGAGAGAGGUGGGUGCGUGGCCGGCAGCUGGCGCAGAACGCCUGGGCUCCGCCAGGCACUGGACCUUUUUUUCUCGCUGUGGUCCAGCGCCCCUAGUCCCAGAGCAGGCUUGUGUCACGUGGGAAGCGGACGGUGCCUGGGGCGCGCACGGGGAGGGGAGGGAAGGAGCCAAAGAACCCCGUGCCCGCUCGGUGUUGGGCGAGCUGCACACCUGGCUUCGGACUCACCAUCUGCUCCCAGCUACCGCCUCUGGGGCUGGAGAAAGAUGAAUGCGGUGCGGGAGGGAGUGGAUGGCUUCGCUCUGUACCCGCGGUGAGCUCAACGUUUAUAAAGCUCCUACUGUGUGCUGAGCGCAGCCCCGCUCCCCUCCAGCGAUGGGCCCUUUACUGUUCUGCUAUCCUGCAAGCUAGAAAAGAAUCCUGUGUGCAUUGUAAAAGAAAUUCACAUUUUGAACCUUAAUACAUAAGCAAGCCGCCAGGCCAAGGUGGGCGAUUGAGACAGUGUGGAGUCUGGAAAAUUAAUCUGUGGACUUUUGUGAUUUUCUUCUCUGAUCCCCCAAGUACAAGACUCCCCUCACUUCCUUUCCCACAUUCUCACAACCCACAGAUCAAAAUUUAAAACGUUAAAAAUAAUUUAUUGGCUUUAGCUCUCAAGGCCAAUAACUAAAGGCUAGUCUUUUCCUCAAACUUAACUAAUUUUAUAAAUGUCAGACCCAAAAUACCAUCUGGAUAUAAUGCCUACUUGUAAUCCUGAAAUAAAAUUUGGAGGUGAUAUAAUCUAUGCAUAUAU